AAAAAAGAAAAAGAAAAAGAAAAAUAAAUUCUUCGAUGUCUUAUCCCUAUCCUCUAGUUUCUUUCUGGAAUAAGAUGUAUGUUAAUGUCAUAAUCUAGAAGUUUUUAUGUAUGUUGCAAGUUUGGCUUCAAUUAAUGGCUUCCUUUGUUUCAUGAAGAGUAGCGUAUGUGGAAAAUAUUUCCUUAAAAUAUGAAUUGUUUAUGUUAUUUAGCUGUAAUGUUAAAUCAAUUGGUAAAAUAUUUUUUUGUGCAUUUUAUGCACAUUGAAAAAAAUUAAUUUUUAAUGCGAUCAAUUAUAAUAUGUCAAUUAAUAAGAAUAUGAUUUUCAGCUAUAACGUGUCUCAUGUCAAAAUUUAGAAGUUCUGACAAUUUUGUAAUUUUUUGGUCAGUUUAUGGCUUCUUUCCUUUCAAAGAAAGGAGCUUGUGGAAUAUAUUUUAUUAAAAAAAUGAAUAUUUU
rnacentral:misc_RNA from 1 species